rnacentral:sRNA from 1 species
CCCCCCCCCCCAAAAAAAAAUAUCCCCAUUUAUAUAUAAACAUUCUCUUACGUUCUUGAAGUACCCUUGAAAAGUUACAUUGAUAAAAAGUAUUCAUUAAUAUUUCAACAGAACAUUAUCUUCACAAUUAACCAUUUUCACAAACAACAGAAUCUUAUGGUCAUACAAUGGCACCAACAGGAAGACUGCUUUGUUCUAAAUGACUAUUCCGAUUUCUGGCUUUGUUUUCCUCGUCCCCCAAAAACCUCUUCCCCAUAAACUCUGCUCUCUUUCCUCAGAGUAUCAUGGAACCAAUCAAAAAAGUACGUGUUGAAUCCAAAAUUGACGUGAAAAUGUCUGGUAAACAAAGAAAAAAUAAAUAUAAUUCAAAUGCCUGUUUUGUAAGUCAUAUAAAAUCAUGACUGUUUACUAGUAUUAUUGAUUUUAUUCAUUAUGGUUCUUACUUGUGGUGGUUGUCAUGGAAAUAGGAAUGCGGUUGCCAUGGCCAGAUGGCGCCCAUCUUGAUUCCGGAAUGGUCGCAGAGUCCGUAGUAGUAGGAAUAAAGCAACACAAACAGGAAGGGGACUGGAAAAAGGACAAGAUCACCGAUAUAGCCCAUUGAAACCCCAUCCUUUUAUAUAAUUUUACAGAUGUGAUAUAAGCAAUUUCCAAAAAAAAUAAUUAAACAUGACAACGUUACUCGUAUUAUUUUUUCUCUUCCUUCUUAUACUCAAGAUGAUAAAACAUCAUUGUGACUUCGCCAUGACUAAUGCUGAAAUAUGGUUUGGAAACUUUUCUUCGAGACGUAUACUGCUCUUUUCAUUUUAACUUACAGGCAUGGAUUGGGACAAGGAAGGGCGUGGCCGCCAGAUACCCCUGGUACAUGAUAAAUUCCAGAGGAUGCAUUGCCACUGCACUCCAGGCCGUGGGCUGGUGGUACCGGUGGUGCAUUUUGUGGAUCUUUUUAUACAGCCAAGGGUUGUGGAACAGACGGUGAAGGUAGUAGGCCAUUGUCUCGUUAUAGACAAAGAACGCCACUAGAGAGAAAAGGAAGUAUGCCCAGCCUCGCUCUGGUACACUGUAGUACAUUUUAGAAUGCCCUGAAGUUCAAAGAAGAAACCAUGGUGAAACCAAUCGAGACCCUACCUACUGAGAGAUUUAAAAAUGCAUUCAAAUUAAAAAACAAUAAUUGCAUAAUUUAAAUGAAAAAUUUGCAGUUCUAUAAAACACUGUUGAUGAUGUUGAAUGCAUGUAAACUAUUUUACCGCCGUUCAUGAUGUAACAGGCAAUGACCCCAGAAGCCGUUGACCCUAUUAACAUGUUCAAAGAGCCCAGGAGAAUCUCGUGUCUUUCGUUCUCGGGGGUCAAGAACUUGUCCGGCUGACACUUCCACUCCUUGGCCUGUACAGGAAAACAAUAAGUCGACAAUGUUACAACACAGCACACCAUUCGAACAUAUGUAACAGAAAUUCUUUAUAUUCGAGUACUCUACCUUUUCAUUGUAUAUAAAUAUAAUAAUUACUGUAUUUUCAAAGAAAUGAAUUUUAUGGGUUUUUC